rnacentral:miRNA from 1 species
GCGUUUAUCCGCGUGACUUUAAU